rnacentral:lncRNA from 1 species
UCUUCUUCUUCUUCUUUGUUAACACAAUGAGAGAAAGAGGGAGAUGAGUGCGGAGUAGGAGAUUAGACGAUGAUAUUUUUUUAUGGUGUAUGUAAAAGAGUUACAAAAGAGAGAGGGUAGGAGAUUAAUUAAUGGAGGAGGGGAGUGGUGCAUGUAAAAGAAUUACAAAAGAGAGGGAGUGGGAGAUUAAUAGAGGAGGAAAGUGGUUAAAGUUAUAAAAUAGAAUCUUAAUAUGGUGCAUGUAAUUAAAUAUUGCAUGUAAUUAGAGUAGUGGUGAGGUGAGUUAGGCGUUAAGAAAAGAAGAAGGUGGUUUGAUUUAAAGUUGGAUUUACAGUUACAUAUAAUUAAAUAUUGUAACUUACAUAUAAUUAGAGGAGUGAGAAGGUGAAAAAUUGAGAGUUGAAAAGAGGAGAAGGUGGUUUGAUUUAAAGUUAGCUAUGAGAAAUAAGAAUAACAUGCCACGUGGCAAAAAAUAUUGUGGCUUUAUAUAGGUUUAUAGAUAGUCAGAGCAUACGUGAAGCUUUAAUUACUAUCAUCUCUCAGCAAUAAUCGUCAUCAGAGUAUAAAA